UUGUGAGGAGUUCCCUGCACCCCUGCCAAGGCUGCAGCCAGCCAGCCAUAUCCAAGUUCUCCAUCUCUUUUGUAGAAUAGGAGAAACUCUCACUAAAAAGCAGCAGGCGCAGCAAACGUUAGCAUUUAAUGAGAUCAAGAAAGGGCUGGCAUUCUCACUGCCUCGCCAGAUGCAUUUUUUGCUCGGAAUUAAAUCCCUCUGAAUUGCACAGGAUAGUCCCGAGCAAAGGUGUGCAGGGGCUGCAGUGUUAAGGAGCAAACAAAAGGAUGCAUUGAGAAGCUUGAGGGAAGCAGAAGGGAUGCUUCGCAGACUGAAUACGCAUCUGAAUGAGGACAGUGCCAUCACGACUAUGAAAGGUAACAUCUGCAGAGACAAACCACUGCUAAAUAUAUCAAGGAGUGAAGUGACAGAAAGUACUCAUGAAAGGUCAAGGAGAGAGAGAGAGAGACUAUUGAAUCUACACAGAGGAACUUACUGAUUGACCCUUUCUAUGGAAACAAAGAUGCUAUUUUGCUUUCCUUUCAGUAUUGUUUGUUGUUGCAGACAGAUUGCAAUUGAUUGGGGUGAAUACCAUGUUGUGUUAUGUUUCAUCUUGGUUUGUGUCAAACCAGUUAGCAUUACAAUGUCCAGCUUUGCAUAUAAUAUGCAAUAUUUUUCUUACAGCUGUAUCUUAUAGUGCUUUUGUGGUUUGUUUGUUUUUUAUUGAAUAAACCACUGUAAACCCUG